GACGAACGCAGGCGGCGUGCCUAAUACAUGCAAGUAGAACGCUGAAGAGAGGAGCUUGCUCUUCUGGGAUGAGUUGCGAACGGGUGAGUAACGCGUAGGUAACCUGCCUUGUAGCGGGGGAUAACUAUUGGAAACGAUAGCUAAUACCGCAUAACAAUGGAUGACCCAUGUCAUUUAUUUGAAAAGGGGCAAAUGCUCCACUACAAGAUGGACCUGCGUUGUAUUAGCUAGUAGGUGAGGUAACGGCUCACCUAGGCGACGAUACAUAGCCGACCUGAGAGGGUGAUCGGCCACACUGGGACUGAGACACGGCCCAGACUCCUACGGGAGGCAGCAGUAGGGAAUCUUCGGCAAUGGGGGCAACCCUGACCGAGCAACGCCGCGUGAGUGAAGAAGGUUUUCGGAUCGUAAAGCUCUGUUGUAAGUCAAGAACGAGUGUGAGAGUGGAAAGUUCACACUGUGACGGUAGCUUACCAGAAAGGGACGGCUAACUACGUGCCAGCAGCCGCGGUAAUACGUAGGUCCCGAGCGUUGUCCGGAUUUAUUGGGCGUAAAGCGAGCGCAGGCGGUUUGAUAAGUCUGAAGUUAAAGGCUGUGGCUCAACCAUAGUUCGCUUUGGAAACUGUCAAACUUGAGUGCAGAAGGGGAGAGUGGAAUUCCAUGUGUAGCGGUGAAAUGCGUAGAUAUAUGGAGGAACACCGGUGGCGAAAGCGGCUCUCUGGUCUGUAACUGACGCUGAGGCUCGAAAGCGUGGGGAGCGAACAGG
rnacentral:rRNA from 1 species